GAUGAACGCUGACAGAAUGCUUAACACAUGCAAGUCAACUGUGGCGGACGGGUGAGUAACGCGUAAAGAACUUGCCUCACAGAUAGGGACAACAUUUGGAAACGAAUGCUAAUACCUGAUACUGUGAGAGAGCUUUGCGUCCCAUUAGCUUGUUGGAGAGGUAACGGCUCACCAAGGCGAUGAUGGGUAGCCGGCCUGGGAGGGUGAUCGGCCACAAGGGGACUGGGACACGGCCCUUAAUCCUACGGGAGGCAGCAGUGGGGAAUAUUGGAAAAUGGACCAAAGUAUGAUCAAGCAAUUCUGUGUGCACGAUGAUGUUUUAGGAAUGAAAAGUGCUUUCAGUUGGGAAGCGGUACCAACAGAAGAAGUGACGGCUAAAUACGUGCCAGCAGCCGCGGUAAUAC
rnacentral:rRNA from 1 species